AUGGGAUCAGAAAGCACUACUGGACUCUCGGACAGACAGACCUCCCCGCGGCAUAGAGACCAUUUUCUGAUCUCCAGUGCUCUUGUCCAUUUUGAUUUCUGGUGGUUGAGACUGGAGCCUUGGACUUCUUGUGAAAAGUAUGUGCUGGAAUGGAACACCUUGCGAGCUCCUUGUUUUGAACUGCAGUGCUGCAACUUGGAUAGGAUAUGUUUCAUCACUGAAGACCAGACCACUCACUCAGGACCCUAA
rnacentral:lncRNA from 1 species